AAUCAUGGGGAGAGAGGACGUAAGUGGUUUUUUGUUUUGUUUUGUUUUAUUUGCAGUGUGUGCUGCCAUUAUCAUGGUCGUCAUUAGCAUUUAUUAACAGCGUACUUUUAUUGAGUCCUUAUUUUAAACCGAGCACUGUGAUGGAGUCUUUUGAGGAUGCUUUUCUUAAGACGAACAGGACCUUUUAUGAAAUUUAAAAAGGACCCAACCUUCCUGCUUGGAGUGGAGUUGUGGUGAACAUGAAUCAUGAGGAGCCAGGUGAGAGUUUAUGCCCCUCAGCAGUCUGUGCGAGGGCCCAAGAAGGGACCUGGAAAUUAUUUAUGGAGUAAUGAGAAGACUCCCUGGCCAUGGUAACCCAAGACAAUGAGUCACAUACAGCCCAGGGCUUAGUCCCGGCUGCCACUUGUCAUAGGCUCUGGGUCAUUUUGGUCCUGGUGAUGAUGAUGUGAAUGAAGUACGUCAGGACAAACCUGGACAGAAGAGCCUGCUGACUGGGACAGCACAGCCAGCCCUUCCGUCUGGGCUUAUCCAGGAGGGGGAUUUGCCUCUGGAGGGUAAGAGUUGCCCCUGCAGAUAACAAAGAGAAACUACAAGUGUAACAUCGCUCAAAGGAAUGGAGUGGGCAAAAAAGAAACGACAGGAACACAUUAAACUGGAGUUCAUAAUAGUUCAUUGUGAGCUCAGCUGAAGUUUCAUUAGAUAUAUCACUUAUUUUCCACUGCUUCACAAGACAUAGUAGAUCACAAAGAGGGAUGGUGGGGAGAGAAAGAGCUUGAGUCAGUGUGCUGAGCGGGGAUGGGGGAAGAGCUGAGGGGGGAAAUCAGUCUGGAAAAGCCAUGGGGGCAGGGUUAUGGCCCACCAUGAACUGGGCAGGGAGUGACAAGGGGAAAACCGUCUUGGGAGAUU
rnacentral:lncRNA from 1 species